rnacentral:rRNA from 1 species
GACAGAGGGGGCAAGCGUUGCUCGGAAUCACUGGGCGUAAAGGGCGCGUAGGCGGGAUGGCAAGUCAGUCGUGAAAUCUCUCGGCUCAACCGAGAAACGUCGGCUGAUACUGCCGUUCUUGAGGGAUGCAGAGGAGACUGGAAUUCCCGGUGUAGCGGUGAAAUGUGUAGAGAUCGGGAGGAACACCGGUGGCGAAGGCGGGUCUCUGGGCAUCUCCUGACGCUGAGGCACGAAGGUCAGGGGAGCAAACGGG